CCCAGCUGUAAGCAACUGCUUAGGUUGCCUUGUACUUAGGCAAGUGUUACACUGCUGGGAGAAAAGCAGCCAACAGCUGGCAGGCGUUCUAAUUUGGUUAGUGCCAACUUGGUGUUAACUAC
ensembl:snoRNA SNORA74 Small nucleolar RNA SNORA74